UACAUAUAAAUCAAGCCUUUCGGUGCCAUAGAGGCUAAGAGGCUGAACUAUGGAAUAAGGUAGUCUCUGCUUGAAGUCUUGCGUCUUACCAGGUGGCCUUAAACAAGCUGCUACUGUCUUAGCCAUAGUCUCUAGUAUGAGAAGAAUAUGGGGACAUAGGAAGCUGUCUUAGAUCUGGCCUAACCAUUAUAUCUAGCAUUAUAUUGCCUACACCACAGGUAGCCAAUGAGCCCUCUGGAUGUAUAGAACUACAACUUCAAUCAGCCCUAGCCAGCAUGACCAGUGGACAAAAAGGAUAGAAUUUGCAGUCAAGCAACAUCCAUCCCUUCAGGAUCUAAACAUGCAGUGAAGUAAUCAAAGCCUUUCCACCUUUCAUAGCAGAAGCAAGGCUGCCCACAACACCUCCACAACCUUUCAUGUGUCAGAAUUCUCAUGGACGUUAUGCUACCUCAUGACUUAGACAAAUUGAAGAGCAUCAACCAGCUCAGCACCACAAAGUGUCUCCGGGGCAGCAGCAGCAGAGGAGCUGGUUAAUAUUUACUACAACCCGAAAAUGUUGCAGUGGCUGGCUGUUUGUAAAAUAAACAGAAGAAACUGUGACAUAGCACUGGGCCAGAUGUUCCUGAUAGCAUGUUGCCAGCAGAAGAAUUCUCAUCCUUGAAGAAAGUUUUCUAAGUGGUCAUGACACUCUUGGUCAUGACCUGUUGCAUCUCCAGCGCUUCUGGGACGCCACCCAGCCCAUCAAGGAGCAGCAGCCGCUGCGUCUGCUGGGAGUUCGCUAAGCUGAGAGGGUGAAUGCAGUGACUCUCCAUGAGGAGCAGGUACAGCAGGGGUGCAGUGAAGACCACUUGUUGCCUCCCACGCAAUGUCUGCAAGGAGGUUAGGAGGUGCAACUCUUGCCUUGCCCCGGGUGCUGCCAAUGCACGC